rnacentral:rRNA from 1 species
AUGCAAGUCGAACGGAACUGUUUUGAAAGAUUUCUUCGGAAUGAAUUUGAUUUAGUUUAGUGGCGGACGGGUGAGUAACGCGUGAGUAACCUGCCUUCAAGAGGGGGAUAACAUUCUGAAAAGAAUGCUAAUACCGCAUGACAUAUCGGAACCACAUGGUUUUGAUAUCAAAGAUUUUAUCGCUUGAAGAUGGACUCGCGUCCGAUUAGUUAGUUGGUGAGGUAACGGCUCACCAAGACCGCGAUCGGUAGCCGGACUGAGAGGUUGAACGGCCACAUUGGGACUGAGACACGGCCCAGACUCCUACGGGAGGCAGCAGUGGGGGAUAUUGCGCAAUGGGGGCAACCCUGACGCAGCAACGCCGCGUGAAGGAUGAAGGUUUUCGGAUUGUAAACUUCUUUUAUUAAGGACGAAACUUGACGGUACUUAAUGAAUAAGCUCCGGCUAACUACGUGCCAGCAGCCGCGGUAAUACGUAGGGAGCAAGCGUUGUCCGGAUUUACUGGGUGUAAAGGGUGCGUAGGCGGCUUUGCAAGUCAGAUGUGAAAUCUAUGGGCUCAACCCAUAAACUGCAUUUGAAACUGUAGAGCUUGAGUGAAGUAGAGGCAGGCGGAAUUCCCCGUGUAGCGGUGAAAUGCGUAGAGAUGGGGAGGAACACCAGUC